AUGUUGCGUUUGCAGAACAAAAGGGGAGUUGGAGGCUGGGGCCUAAUUUGCAGAGGUGACGCUCAAGACAUUCGUUUUGCAGUGGCUGGAGCCCAGCAUGAUCUGCACAAUGCCCUACAAGCUGAAGCUGUUGCUCUUUCCAAGGCAGUGACUCUGGCGGAUAGGUUAGGAGUUGGGCGCGUCAUUUUUGAAACUGACUGUAUGGUCCUUAAGCAAGCAAUGAACUCAAACGACUACGAGUUGGCGCAACUGGGUGUUUUGUUUAGUGAUAUCAGGUUCAGACUUAGGACCCUUUUCAUUGAGGCCCAUGUGGUGUAUGUGCCGAGACAGUAUAAUGGACUAGCACAUGUGCUGGCGUCCUUAGGUGCAAGUUUAGCUGAUGGUGGGUACCGUGAGUGGUUCACCAAUUACCCCAAUGACGUAAUUAGUGAUGUGACGGGCGACCAAGCCUUGUCGUAA
rnacentral:rRNA from 1 species